rnacentral:sRNA from 1 species
UAAUACGAUGGGCUUGUUGUCAUGGU